GGGAUUGUAGCUCAGCUGGUUUAGAGCGCCGCCCUGUCACGGCGGAGGUCACGGGUUCGAACCCCGCCAGUCCCGCCA
rnacentral:tRNA from 1 species